rnacentral:tRNA from 1 species
GGCUGAAUGGCAGAAUGGCUAUGCAGCGGAUUGCAAAUCCGUGGACCUCGGUUCGACUCCGGGUUCAGCCUCCA